rnacentral:tRNA from 1 species
UCUAAUAUGGCAGAUUAGUGCCAUGGAUUUAAAUCCCAUUCAUAAGGAUUUCCCUUUUUUAGAA